CCUACGGGAGGCAGCAGUGAGGAAUAUUGGUCAAUGGUCGGGAGACUGAACCAGCCAAGCCGCGUGCGGGAUGAAGGUACAGAGUAUCGUAAACCUCUUUUGUCAGGGAACAAAGGCGGGGACGCGUCCCCGGAUGAGUGUACCUGAAGAAAAAGCAUCGGCUAACUCCGUGCCAGCAGCCGCGGUAAUACGGAGGAUGCGAGCGUUAUCCGGAUUUAUUGGGUUUAAAGGGUGCGCAGGCGGUCUGUUAAGUCAGGGGUGAAAACCCGGGGCUCAACCCCGGCCUCGCCGUUGAUAUGGGCAGUCUCGAGAGGGAGAGAGGUAGGCGGAAUGCGCGGUGUAGCGGUGAAAUGCAUAGAGAUCGCGCAGAACUCCGAUUGCGAAGGCAGCAUGCCGGCUCCACACUGACGCUGAGGCACGAAAGCGUGGGGAGCGAACAGGAUUAGAUACCCUGGUAGUC
rnacentral:rRNA from 1 species